UUAUGUACACACCUACAACAUAGUGUUAAUGCACCGGAUCCCAUUAGAACUCCAUAGUUAAGCACGCUCGGGCUAUAGUAGAACUGGGAUGGGUAAUCGCCUAGGAAAUCUUAGUGUUUUACAUGCC
rfam:Picea glauca, whole genome shotgun sequence.